rnacentral:rRNA from 1 species
AACGAACGCUAGCGGCGUGCUUAACACAUGCAAGUCGAACGAGAAAUCUCGGGCAACUGAGAGAGUAAAGUGGCGCACGGGUGAGUAGCGCGUGGGUAAUCUGCCUUGGAGGCGGGAAUAACACCUCGAAAGGGGUGCUAAUACCCGAUAAUAUCCAUGAGACUCCGGUCUUGUGGAUCAAAGGUGGUUGAGGCGUGCAAGCUAUUGCUCCAAGAUGAGCCCGCGUACCAUUAGCUAGUUGGUGAGGUAAUGGCUCACCAAGGCUAUGAUGGUUAGCUGGUCUGAGAGGAUGGCCAGCCACACUGGAACUGAGAUACGGUCCAGACUCCUACGGGAGGCUG